rnacentral:rRNA from 1 species
UACGGGGGGGGCAAGCGUUGUUCGGAAUUACUGGGCGUAAAGGGCUUGUAGGUGGCCAACUAAGUCAGACGUGAAAUCCCUCAGCUUAACUGGGGAACUGCGUCUGAUACUGGCGAGCUCGAGGCAGGUAGGGGGAAGCGGAAUUCCCGGUGUAGUGGUGGAAUGCGUAGAUAUCGGGAGGAACACCAGUGGCGAAGGCGGCUUCCUGGACCUGUUCUGACACUGAGGAGCGAAAGCGUGGGGAGCGAUCCGG